UACGUAGGGGGCAAGCGUUGUCCGGAAUUAUUGGGCGUAAAGCGCGCGCAGGCGGCUUUGUAAGUCCGGUGUUUAACCCUGGGGCUCAACCUCAGGUCGCACCGGAAACUGCAAGGCUUGAGUGCAGAAGAGGAAAGUGGAAUUCCACGUGUAGCGGUGAAAUGCGUAGAGAUGUGGAGGAACACCAGUGGCGAAGGCGACUUUCUGGGCUGUAACUGACGCUGAGGCGCGAAAGCGUGGGGAGCAAACAGGAUUAGAUACCCUGGUAGUCCACGCCGUAAACGAUGAGUGCUAGGUGUUAGGGGUUUCGAUACCCUUGGUGCCGAAGUAAACACAAUAAGCACUCCGCCUGGGGAGUAUGGUCGCAAGACUGAA
rnacentral:rRNA from 1 species